rnacentral:lncRNA from 1 species
CAGCGCGACCCUCCCCAUCUUGUUACUGGCGGGCAAGGCCCCCGAUCACGUGAUACCGCCCCCCAACUCCGGGCGGAAGAGGCCAGCGACAGCGCUGCACGAAGCGAGUGGGCGGGCGCUCGUGCCCGGCUAAAAGAUGGCUGCUGGCGCCUGGCAGCCACCGCCUGGGAGGUUACUGUAAGGCCCGCAGCUCCCGCCAGCUCCCGCGGACUGCUGCCGCCUCCUUACCAUGAAGCCAGUAAGUCGUCGCACGCUGGACUGGAUUUAUUCAGUGUUGCUGCUUGCCAUCGUUUUAAUCUCCUGGGGCUGCAUCAUCUAUGCUUCGAUGGUGUCUGCAAGACGACAGCUAAGGAAGAAAUACCCAGACAAAAUCUUUGGGACGAAUGAAAAUUUGUAACUCUUCUGGAUUUAAUUAUCUGAAAAUACAGUUCUUUCCCUCAUGCUUAUGUAGAUAUAAAAAUAAAAUUCAUAAUGCAAAGUUCCCAAGUUUAUUUUUGCAUUAUCCUUUAUAACAAGCACUAGUAUGCAAAUUUUUCACUUAGAGAUUUUAGUAUUUUACAUUCUCAUGACAAAAUUAACAGCAACCUAAAUCUGACAGUCUUGAGUGUCAGAUCAUAGUUGGAAUAAGCUUUUCAAUCAAGUUUCUAAAUUCUUCAAAAAUGAUUCGGAAAGCUUUUUUUUUUUUUGAGACGGAGUCUUGCUCUGUCGCCCAGGCUCAGUGGCACUAUCUCGGCUUACUGCAAGCUCCGCCUUCUGGGUUCACACCAAUCUCGUGCCUCAGCCUCCGCAGUAGCUGGGACUACAGGAGCCCGCCACCACGCCCGGCUAAUUUUUUUGUAUUUUUAGUAGGGACGGGGUUUCACUGUGUUAGCCAUGAUGGUCUCGAUCUCCUGACUUCGUGAUCUGCCCGCCUCGGCCUCCCAAAGUGCUGGGAUUACAGGCAUGAGCCACUGCGCCUGGCCGGAAAGAUUUCCUUAAAACAAAAGUGCAUGGAAUUGC